rnacentral:rRNA from 1 species
AAACCAACAGGGAUUGCCCCAGUAACGGCGAGUGAAGCGGCAAGAGCUCAAAUUUGAAAUCUGGCCCUCUCGGGGUCCGAGUUGUAAUUUGUAGAGGGCGCUUUGGCGUUGGCCCCGGCCUAAGUUCCUUGGAACAGGACGUCACAGAGGGUGAGAACCCCGUACGUGGCCGCCGGCCUCCGCCGUGUAAAGCCCCUUCGACGAGUCGAGUUGUUUGGGAAUGCAGCUCUAAAUGGGAGGUAAAUUUCUUCUAAAGCUAAAUACUGGCCAGAGACCGAUAGCGCACAAGUAGAGUGAUCGAAAGAUGAAAAGCACUUUGGAAAGAGAGUCAAAAAGCACGUGAAAUUGUUGAAAGGGAAGCGCUUGCAGCCAGACUUGCCCGUAGUUGCUCAUCCGAGCUCCCGCUCGGUGCACUCUUCUGCGGGCAGGCCAGCAUCAGUCCGGGCGGUCGGAUAAAGGCCUCGGGAAUGUAGCUCCCCUCGGGGCGUGUUAUAGCCCGGGGCGCCAUGCGACCAGCCUGGACUGAGGUCCGCGCAUCUGCUAGGAUGCUGGCGUAAUGGCUGUAAGCGGC